rnacentral:rRNA from 1 species
UACGGGGGAUGCGAGCGUUAUCCGGAUUUAUUGGGUUUAAAGGGUGCGUAGGCGGACUGUCAAGUCAGCGGUAAAAUUGAGAGGCUCAACCUCUUCCCGCCGUUGAAACUGGUGGUCUUGAGUGGAUGAGAAGUACGCGGAAUGUGUGGUGUAGCGGUGAAAUGCAUAGAUAUCACGCAGAACUCCGAUUGCGAAGGCAGCGUACCGGCAUCCAACUGACGCUGAGGCACGAAAGCGUGGGGAUCAAACAGG